rnacentral:misc_RNA from 1 species
AAGUCGUAACAAGGUUUCCGUAGGUGAACCUGCGGAAGGAUCAUUACAAAAUUCAAGGUCGCGAGCCUCCGAGCGCUUCGGCGUAAGGGGCAGCGGCCUGACCUUCUACCCACCCUUUGCCUAUGUGUACCCCUAUCGCUUCCUCGGCAGGCUCGCCUGCCGCCAGGAACCACGUAAACCCUUUGCAUUAUACAUCAACACUUCUGAUACCAACCAAAAUUAUUACAACUUUUAACAAUGGAUCUCUUGGUUCUG